ensembl:misc_RNA 7SK 7SK RNA
GGAUGAAGGGAAUCUCUCUGGCACAUCUGUUACCCCUUUGAUGGCCAAGAUUGAUUUGGUUGAUCUUGCAGGUUAGGCAGGUUAGGCAACUUCCUUUCUCACCACAAAUGUGUGUCCUUUCCAAAGCUGCAUAUUAAGUGGAAGAAGAUGGCCUUCCCUGAGAGACAGACACUUCUUCAGUCAACAGUGUCCUCCUGGCUAGAACUUCCAUAAGAGUUCUCAAAGAGUCCUUUCCCUCCCCCUCUGUCUCUGGGUUGCUUGGUUGCUUCUCUCUGAGG